GAGUCCUUAAAGCUCUUUAAGGGUCAAAGAAAAUGCAUGUUCAUGAGAGUUAGUCACUCUGCCUUGUAAAGCUUGUUUUGAUUUUUAUUUUUUCGGUUGGUUUACAGUACUCAGUGGCUUUGAAUCUCAAUACGGCUGUUGUGGAGGUUUCCUUGGAUCGCCCCGGUGUCAGAUCGCCAAGCUUCAUGUUCAUGACCAAAAAGAAAACCUAAAGGGCUUUGUGAAGACUUUUGUCAAGUUCCCACCUGCUGAUGGUAAUCACCGUGUGUUUGCAGUAAGUUGUGAGAUGAGAUCUCCCUUUACUUUCAGUGACGGAAAAGGAAAUUGUGGCCUCUGGGAGUCUGGACUUGACUAUACUUCGCUACCCUUGUUCAGCAUGCCGGUUAAGGAAGACCUCUUCCACCAGCCAGUACUCUGUCCUUUGUAACCCCAUUUACAGUACCAGAAGGAUCUUCUAUGUGCUCCAGAAGUUUCUGAGAGUGGAAGAGGUGAAAUCAACAGAAUGGACUCUAGACCCACACCCUCACCCACUCCCAUAAGUCUCUGAGCAAUAACUUCUUCCUCAAGAUUCCUUCCAAGAAGAUAUUGGGCAGCUAACAAGAAGAUACCAAAAUAUACAAGACUGGAAAUAACUAAAGGAAGUUGCUAACAUUUUUAUUGUAUAGCUGGGAGUUCAGAGUUAUCCAGGGGCAUCCUGGAUGUGACUGGGCUGUGACUCUCUAACAACAAACUCCUGUUCUCACCCAGGAGUUGUACCAAGCCAGUUUCCCCAAAGGCCAUGCCCGUUUCCCAUCCCUGCUUUCCAGCCAAAUGGGACCCUUGUCUGUCUGCUGGAGGGAAUGACAUCCUCUCGCCACCUUCAAACGCCGGAAAUUUUCCAUCUAGGCCAAAUAACACAUGUGUUAGUUAGAAUGAGGAUCAGUCAGCUGGCAGGAAACUUUUUAUUUCCAGGGAACAGACCGAGCAUCCACACAACGAGACUUUACUGAACAUUCAUUUAUAUGCAAACUCCAUUCUGUGAGGCAGUGGGGGUGCAGGAAGCAUGGUUCCAUCAAAUCAAGGAUUGUUUACACCGGAAGAGGUUUUACAGACUGCUUGGUGCAAGCCUCACACCUUAUUUUUUUGAGACAGUGUCUCACUCUUGUCACCCAGGCUGCAGUGCAGUGGCGCAGUCACUGCUCACUGCAGCCUCGAACACAAGGGCCCAAGUUAUCCUCCCACCUCAGCCUCCUGAAUAGCCAGAACUACAGGCAUGCAACACCCCUCCCCCCAGCUAAUCUUUAAAUUUUUUGUAGAGAUGGGGGUAUCACUGUGUUGCCUAGGCUGGUCUCGAACCUCUGGGCUCAAGUGAGGCUCCUGCCUUGGCCUCUCAAAAUGCUGGGAUUACAGGCAUAAGCCAACAAGCCUGGCCAAGCCUUACACUUUAUAACAGGCAAUCUGAGGCAUAUAGAAAAGAGACCAGUUGGUGACUGCACAAAGGGGAGUGGUAGAGCCAGCCCUCAAGUGCUGAUUUCUCUCCAGGGCCCUUUCUGUCACCCCAGAGUAGCAGUGUUAACAGCCAAGUCCUUGGUGUGAGGGAAUAUGGAAUGUAUAUACAUCUGGCAGGAGGGCACCUGGAGAAUCCUGGAGUUUGGUAGAAAUUGGGGGAAGAGAAAAAAGAUUUUGAGGAGAGGUGGCUAAAAAGCUAGAAAGGGUACAGGACAGAGAAAUUGAGAAUAUCUAGAGAGGAGUUUUGGCCACCAUACAGAUUCCCUUAAGCCUGGCAGUGCUGCCUCAUCAUCUUCCCUACUCACUUUGUCUCAGGAGUGGGAUGCUCUCUAAAUGCACUGUGUUUAUCAGCACCAGGAUACCUGGUAUGGGAAAAAUGCAUCUUUGGAACCAGACCACCUUUUUCUGGGCUCUUCUCCUGAUUCAAUUACCUGCCAAGUUCCCAACUAGCCUUAUGCUGCUCAAAGACGUACAUACCCACACCCACAACCAAGCAUAUCUAUCUUCCAAGACAGCACUGAACAAAAUUCAGUGUCUCCUCAGUGCCCUGUUCUUCUGCUCCCAACAGAGAAGGCAAUUUGACUGACCUGCCUGCACAAAGAGGAGAAUAAGCAAGAAUUGCUCAAAGUGACAAUUCACGGAGAACGAUUGGAGGAGCAAAUCAAAGAAACGAGUCUAUAAUGGAAGAAAUUCAGGAUUAUAUUUGCUAAGAGGAGAUUGACAAAAGAAGUCACCUAGCCUUCCUAGUAGGCCUGAGAUUAUACCAUGUAGAAAAGGAAGCUGACAAUUUUUAUUAUAUUAUAAUACAUAAUAAACACAAUGCUAAGUGCUUUACAAACAUUGUCCACUUGAAUUCUCACACUAUUGAAGGAAAGCAUUUACACUCAAUUUUAUAGGUUAAAAAACCCUGAAAUUCAGGAAUGUUUAGGGAUAUGCCCAAGGUCACAUAAGUAGAAAGAUACAAUUUGAACCUAUGUCUCAUUGAUAAUAAGUUCCAUUACUACCUACCAUGCUUUAGUCUAAACACCAUCUAAAAGUCAAUUUUGCCCAUCGCUGUAUCUCUAACAAUGAGCACAAUGCCUGGUUUAUAAUAGGUAUUCCAUAAACCUUGAUGAAUGAAUAAAUAAAUAAAUGAGUGAGUGAGAUUGGCCUUCAGUGAAUGCAUUCAUUCAAUAAACCUUUACUUUAUUACUAUGGGCUGGGCUCUGUGCUGCUUUCUGUGGGUCAAGAAAAU